CGGCCAUUUUGGACGCUUUUCCUAUUGAUGUAAGAAGCUGUAAGAUGUAAAGAAGCUCUAGAAAUUCGGGAUUUGCGCCAAAAUGGUUGGCAAUUGUGCUGUUCCACAUUGUAAUUCAACAUACUAUAAAAGUGCGCAAAUAAAAAGUGGAAUUGCUCUGUUCUCCGUCCCAAAAACAGCCGUAGGAUUAUGGCAACAGCAAAUACCAUCAAUCGUUUAGACGACCACUUCUCGUAUUUGCACGCGCCAUUUUGAUGAGAAUGACAUAAAAAGAGGGACUGAAGUAUUAAACGUGUUUCAUCCGUUUAAACGAUGGGUUUUGAAGGAAGGAGCCAUUCCGAGAUAUUUCCUUACACCCAAUGAAACUUCCCGACAACCAUUACAAAGCAUUUGCAAUGUGAAUAGGAGAAACAAUUCAAUAGCAAACCCUACUGUCGAUGAAAAGUGCAGGAAGCAUCCAAAUAAAGAAAGAUAUGCCUUUGCGAAGAAGAGCAGCCUAAA
rnacentral:lncRNA from 1 species